UCAACCCCAUCUGCAGCAAUGAAAGGUGCUUCUCAACUCUUCACCUUUGUCAAGUUUUAAUGAGAAGCACAAGCCAUGUUUGAUACAGAAACCUGCAGGAUUAGGUUGACCAUUGGAAACUCCACACUGGGGUGAAGGUUCCUUGCAAACCUAACCUGUGCCACCUGGUGUUCAUGACUGAGGGAUUGAAUACAUGCUCAUGAUGCAAUGUAUGAAUGAUUGGAUGUUCCUUUGGAGUGGUGGCAAAUGUAAAAGAGACAUGUUUUGGCAGCUCAUCAGGAGAUGCAAAUUGAGAUAUAAACUCGAAUGGCAUCCGAUAGAUAAGAGCAAAGUCAUGGCAGCUCAUCAGUAGAUAUAAUAAACAUUUGUGUGGGAUCCAGUGGAAGGACACACUGUCCAUUGUCCAAAUGCAAUGUUAGUGCUGGCAGA
rnacentral:lncRNA from 1 species